UAACGGUCCUAUGGUAGCGAAAUUCCUUGUCGGUUAAGAUCCGACGCUCACGAAAGGCGUAACGAUUUGGGCACUAUCUAAACAACAGACUCCGUGAAAUUGUAAUUCCUGUGAAGAUUCCGGAUACCUGCGACAGGACGAGAAGACCCCUUGGAGCCUUACUGUAGCGUGGCCUUGCGUCUUGGUGCUGCAUGUACCGGAUAGCGGGGAGUCUUGGAAACCAGGCAGCCCGUUUGUGCGGCGCCAUGCUUGGGAUACCCCCCGUGAAGCACUGGUACUCCACCCAUACGCCAACAUUGCGGUCUUUGAACACUGACAGGGGCGCAGUUUGACUAGGGCAGCCUCCUCCCCACAAGUCACGGACGCACCAACAGGUUCUCUCGUGACGGUAGGUAAUCGUGAGUCAGGUGCAACGGAAGAAUAGAUCAUGGAUGCGAGCCGACAAGGUCGAGCAACGCAGUAUGACGUACUAGGUGGUCGCGUGG
rnacentral:rRNA from 1 species